UCCUUUUUUUUCUGUACAUCAGUACAAAUAUUGGUAAAGUAAUUUCACUUUCAAUUGCGGAAAUGCUGAGCGCUAAAUCAAAGCGUAAGACGGCAUCACCAUAUGCACGCCCAGCACGGCGAGGGACCAGGAGGACCUACCAACAGAAUCAAUAGUCAUCUACCACUCAGAAUCCCACCACAAGUACUGAAGCGUCCUGUCAUCCUACGAUGGCCUCCAGUUCGACUGCUACACUGCAGCUGGUCUCCAGUCCUACUGCUACACUGGUCACCAGUCCAGUCCUACUGUGGUGUCCACCCCAACUGCUGAGGCAUCCAGUACAUCAGGUUAAAAAUCCCAAAACACCGACAAUCCACAAUACAGUUCUCCAGUAUACGUCGGAGAAUACGUUGAUCCAGUAAACAGAGAUAUAAAUCCAACGCUUCUGGAGGACAGAAAGUCAAACUUUGUAAAUAGUUCUAAUGUAUAAACGUAUACAAUCAUUUACAACUAGGUAUAGAAUCCGUAGCUCGUUGGCAAGAGAGAAAGGAAAACGUUUCAUUGUCUAGUGAAACAGAAACUUCAAUAAAUUAUGACGAGCGAAUUGAAAAAGGUCAAGACCAGGAUUCAAGAAAUACUUCUUUCCAGAGAAUACACAAUCUAAACAAUAUUUUGGGCGAGCAACAAAAAAAAAACAGAUUCUGAGAUGGGAUCGCAUUCUGCAUGCAUACCCGCUUUUCGCUCAGACGUCUCUGAAAAAGAAGGAAUAGAGACAAAAAAUGUCAACCAAAUAUUAUCUAAUGAAAAGGAAUACGAGUAUUUUCUAUUGGAUAAAAUCGACCCAUUGUUAGA